ensembl:lncRNA
UGUUCCUUCAUCUUGUGUCAAAACCUGUGAGCAGAUAACCCAACUGUAUGAGCAACAAAGUAUGAAUACUGAGAGACUCUAAACAGGAGGUUUGUACUACAAUCAAAUCAUUUAACUUGACCUAUUUAAUGAUGUGAAUAAUCCCUAAGGCUUUGCCAUAAUUAGGUAAAGCAAUAGUAUGUAAAUGACUUAAAUGAAUAUUUUUCACAUCAAGCUAAGUUACCUGCUCUUUCCCCCUCCUUUUGUCUUUUGUUAUUAAAAAACAGGGAUCCUAGUCCACCCUACUGGGAUUUUUAGAUCCCUCUCCCAUUUGCUCCAGGAAGUAAAUCCCUCUCCCAUUUGCUCCAGGAAGUAAGUUGGUUUUCUAUGCUUGUCUUUCAAAGCAUACUGUGUGGAUUUGCAACUGGUUGGCUGAAGAAGCAUUAGUAAUGGAUUUAUUUCUAAGAAAGACAAGUAGCUAAUUUGGAUAUCUCUAGAAGAUUCAUCCUAAAAAUCGAUCCUCAAUUUUGAGGACUCUGACUGUAUAAAUAUUUGCUUUGGUUUGAUAAACAAAUUGUGUUCUAUUCAUUUCCAAGUAUAAUAAGUUAUUACGAAUUAAAAAUGGUCUUCUCCAUUCAUUCCUGUGGCCAGAUACUAUGUUCACCAGAGUGGUGAGAGGAUGAGUAGGAGGUUGAAAGAUGUAUUCUGAAUUCUGAGCACAACUCAGAAUUUAGUUUUCUCAUAGAAACUGUAAUAAAUCGUGGGUUCCCUGGCUAGCCUGCCAAAGCCCAUUUAAAAUGUCUUAGCUAGCCAUGCAGUAAGAGUUAGCAUGAUGAAGGGAAAGAACAUUGGCUUGGAAGUCAGGAAAAUGAUUUUAUUUUGGACUGCUGCUGACUUGAUGAAUUCACCCACCUUGACUACCCAUCAUCUGUAAAAUAAAAUGUUUUGUGUUUAGUAAUAACCUAAGUCCCUUCAACUCUGUAAGUUUAGGACUAAGGCUAGGGGUGAGGAAUCACUCAUUCUGAAGAAGGAAGGAGACAACCAUACUGGAGUGACCACCUAGUUAGCAAGGGGUCUUAUUAUGUGGCAGCUCCUGUUCCAUGCCCUCUAUCAUUGGUAUGACAGAUUAGUUAAAAGAAAUGUGUGAGAAACAGUAAAAUGGGAACUUAGUUGUAUCAUAAUACAACUUAUAAUAUUAUAACUUAUAAUAGCCUUAGUUGUUCUUUGGUCUAAGAACCAAAUGUUUUAAGUGCUUGCUUCCUAAAGAAAGAAUUCAAAACAAUUUUAAAGUUCCUCGGUAUCUAGAACAUUUCAGCUAGAACAGAAAAGGUAGAGGCAGAAGGUGAUAAAUAGCAAUAGAAAAGUAGAUUACUAGCAAGACAAACAUAACACAGUAGAAAGAAGAAAUAGAAUUUCAAAGAAAAGGUAGCUGAGGAUGGAAAUCACAAGAUAUUUUGUCAUCUAUAGACCAAACUUUUGAUGGUCAUGUUUACCAAAAAUAAAAGAUUGAAACUGGUUUUCUGGAUCA